UUACAUCUAGCUUAUUUCAGAAUAUAUAAUCAAAAUGUAAGACAAGCCCAUCCUAACACACACUCAGGGAUCAAACACACUCACAAACUCACAAAUACCACAAUUGAUUUAAAUGAUGAGCUGUCGAAAUUAACAACAUGCGUAAGCUAAGCAUGCAUCGGAGUGGUAAAGGGGGCGGGCCUAAGAAGGUUUCCCCGCCUAGUUUACCAGGCCAUGAGGUUCCUCAGUACUAUUUACCAGGGUACACUCUACCAGUAGCAGAUACUGCAGACUUCCAUUCAUUGGACCAGUCAUACGAUAGUACACAUAGUGAAGGUAUAUACAGUACAUUCGCCCAAGAGCCAAUUUACAGACGUCCCAAUAAUGUUGGAUUAAGAACAUUUUCAAGUGAAUCUGCUGUACAACAUGUACAACAUGUACAGCAAAGCAAUCGACCAACCGAAUUUAAAGAACCGUUUCCAAUUAACUCUACCUGCUCCUCCUCCCCCUCGACCCCCCUAUCCCCAGCACCACGGGGGAGUAGGUCAAGUAUGUCCAGUGUGGACAGUGGAUGGGCCUCCGCCCCCCUCGCCUUGUCCUCCUUCGGUACACGGGCCUCGAAUAGUAGCCUUAAUAGUGAUAAAACUUCGAAUUCCAGCGAAGAAGUUAUGACCAGGGCACAGAUCAAGCAAAGACGACUUUCUAGCAUAUCGAGCUCAGGGUCGAUUGGUCUAAAUAGUACCUUCACAUAUGGAACCAGUAAUAUGGUUCCCCCCUUCCCAAACUCCUUGGUUCCCUCAAGACAAGAUCCAUCUCGUCAAUCCUUGAGAACCUUCGGUAGCUCAGAGUCGGUUGGAUCUCAGGGCUCAAGGCGUCCUUACUCCAGAUCCUCCUCUACAACCUCGUCCUGCUCUACAGUGUCGAGCUCCUCGAGCCUGCUGAGGUCGAGUGAGACGGUUUCCUCUUUGGACUACUCUUCUAUGAUUCAACAAGGAGUGAGCAGUGAGGAGAUCUUGAACUGCUGGUUAUCUGAACUACGGUUCUCUGAGUACUAUUCUUUGUUUGUAUCUGCAGGAUACGAUAUACAAACUAUUACAAGGAUGACACCAGAGGAUCUUACUGCUAUAGGGAUCAAGAAACCAAACCAUCGGAAGAAGUUGAAGCAGAGUGCUGAUGAACUAGGAGUCGGAGACGGUUUACCGGAGUUUAUCCCCUCCUCCGUCCACCAGUUCCUUAAUCUGCUGAGGUUAGAGGAGUACACCAGUGUCCUGGCGGACCAGGGGUACAGGGUCCUCGACCAACUUCUAAACAUAUCCAUAGAGGACUUGGAGGACAUUGGGUUCUUUAGGCUCGGGCAUCAGAAGAGAUUACUUCUUGGAAUUAAAAAAGUGAAAGAACUAAAAAGAUCCGGGAAAGGCGUUACAAACUUCAAUAUUGGUGGACAGGGCGGACAGGUGCAGAAUCAGGGACAUCUUCAUUAUUAUCCUGAGCAGGUGGAAUACCAUAGUCUACCCCCUCUACCCCAGUCAAACAGAUUCUCGUCUUUUCAUCAACCAUCUACACCCCUGGUUCAUAUUACAGAGGGGGAGAUGUACACCCCUUCAGAUGGUUUCCAGUAUAGGAGGGAUAUGGAGUAUAGAAGAAAGUUGGAGGGAGGUUUGGAGGUUCAACAAUCCAUGCCUAAUCCAAUGCCUCCAAUAGAGCCUGUCUACAAUCAUCAGCAGCAAAGAUUUGAGCGAAGUCAAAGUGAAGACCCCCGGCCCUCGGUUUGGCAAAGGUUUAGAUCCUUCGAUGAUUCUGACCUUAGAAGAACGGGCGCGGAGCGUCCUUUUCAAACCGGAACUUUGCCGCGACCACGUGCUACGGUUAAACCACUUCCGGUCCCGCCUGUACAGCCUGAGUUUCCGGGUUCAAGCCCAGACAAGGCAGGAGAGACUAAUGGGAAACAUUUAGCUGUUGUUAGGAAACCUGAUUUCUCCAGUACAGAAGAAGGAUUAACCUGUGAUUCUGAUCUACUGUUACCGUUUGCUAACGAGAGGGCUGGUACCAUUAAGUACAAAACCAAUCCAGGAACUGUUUUCAACCAGUUUAAGAACGAAACCCAUGAUGAUGAUGAUGAUGAUGAGAAUGAGGACAAUGCAGAAGAAGUGAAACACCAUGUUCAUGUUGCAGACAUUCAUCUACCUCCAGCAUUAAACACAAUUCACCACGCUGGACCUCCAUUUCACCAUAACGCACCUCUCAUUCACCAUAAUGGACCUCUUUUUCAUCAUAAUGGACCUCCUUUUCAUCAUAAUGGACCUCCUUUUCAUCAUAAUGGACCUCAUAUUCACCAUAAUGGACCUGAAAGCCUAUCCUUGGGCGAGAACCUUGUCUCCGGGUGUUCAGAUCUCCAGGCUGAACACGUGAAGGUUGAGGAGGAGCCUAGUUCAGGUGAACAGACAGGCAGGCCGGGACUAAACCUUCUCCGAACUCCUACACGGAACCCGAAUCGGUCUGCCGGUGAUGUGCUGCAGGAUAUUGGGACAAUGUUGGCUGAUUUAACAGACGAACUGGACACAAUGCUUAAGUUGGACAAGAGCUAGAUUAUUUCAAGAGAGUUAUUUGCUAGACAUGCAAGUCACUCCCUUUAAGCCGAUUUUUUUUCUGAAAAGACAAUAGUUCAGCUCCGUUGGUUAAUGGCAACAUUUAUUUUUACCUUAAAUGAUACAUCUUUAAAAACUGUUCAGAUCAAGGAAGUUAAAAAGAUUGAGACGUCAAUGUAGGUUUUCAGCCUUUUUGACGUUUAUUGGAUACAAACAAACAAACAAACAAACAAAGAAAACCCGACAGGCAUGCUAAAUGGGAAUAUAGAUGAAAGCAAAUCUGACACAAACUAUAUAUUUUAUUCCCUAAUUGAAUAAACCCUUUGGAGAUAAUUAAAUGUGUUAUCUGUAGCUAAAUAUGUACUUUUAGUACACCAUUGGAUAUACCAAAUAUUAUCUUGUCAAGUAAUACAUUGUAUAAAAGUAUGCGUACCAUUUGCUAUUUGUAAUGUUGACUAUCUGAAAAUUCGCAGAUUUAUUGUAAACAAAGACGACCUGAGAAACAAAACCUGAAAAUUGAAUUUUUUACAUAAUUGUUAAUGUUCCGUCCAUGGUAAAUUUUUCUAUAAUAUUAUUAAAUCCAAAUAUAAACGCACAAAGGGCAACUAUUUGAGAACUAUUACAUAACUAUCUAUUAUUUUAAUAACUAUACCUAUUUUUUCUAUUGGUGCUUAAAAUCAGACUUAAAUUUUGAUAAAAUGAUUAUUGUUAAACAUGAGACUAAAAAGGUUUGAAUGAAGUUGACCUAAAUAUAAACUAGGUUUUUUUUCAAUCUACGUAAACAACCGAAUUAUGUUCCAUUUCCUUGAAGCACAUUUUUACUCCGUUCCAUUGUUUUAUAUUUUUGUACUGAUCAAUUCGUUUUAUGUUUAUGUUAUGUAAUUGUAUGUUUUUGGCAGCUGAAAAUACUUUUGUAAUUGUAGUCCAAUAACACAAAUAAACGUGGUAUAUUUGUAAACUUU